AACAAGAUAUGUCUUACACAGGCUGAGAAAAUGCAACUAGGAAACAUAUCUAAGUAAAUAACUUCCAUUCUGUUGUAUCAAUUUGUAUUGAAUGACGUAUUACUUGGUAGCUCAAAAUAUGUAAUUUAUGACUACAGCCAAGAACACAUAUAUAAAAAUAAAAUAAUGGCUGCUAUUCCUAAAAUGUCUGAGAAUAAACACAGGUUUGUAUUUUACUAAGGAAGAACAAUACAUCCCACUAAGUGACAAGAUAACACUUGCUUGAUUAGUGCCAAGAAAAAAAAAGUAUUUCCAUUGGCUCUCAAGGACUCUCUCAGCUACAAAAGGUAUUGGCAAACCGGGGGUCUCCCUGGUCUACUCCAUGCCCUCCCAGAAUGUGUCCCUGCGGCUGCAGGGCCUCCAGGAAAAAGACUCUGGGUCCUACCGCUGCUCUGUGAAUGUGCAAGACCACCAAGGCAUCAAAAGGAGCCACAGCAGCAAAACUCUAGAGCUCAGGGUGCUGGUUCCUCCAGCUUCUCCAACCUGCCGUCUCCUGGGUGUGCCUCGUGUGGGGACCAACGUGACCCUGAGCUGCCAGUCCCUAAGGAGUAAGCCAGCUGCCCAGUACCAGUGGGAGCGGGCACCCCCAUCCGCCCAGGUUUUCUUUGCACCAGUUUUAGGUGAGGGAGCUUGAGGCUGUGGCUGGGGGAGGGAAAGAUGAGAGGCACCAGAGGGACUGGGGUGAAAAGGGGAGGCAAUGCUGCAAAGUCCUGGGGCAGAGUUGGCAGAGGAGGAGGAUGUAGGGAGGGGACUGGAGAAAGAGAGCCUACCAGACAGGCAAUGUGUUGGGUGCUUUCAGAUACUGUAUACUUAUGACACUCAAGAGGACAUGUGGCCUACUAGAUUACCUGUGCUCACAUCUAACAGAACAUGCUGGAGUGUACUGCACAUAGUUAAGGAGAAUAUCAUUUUGUGGAUUAAGCAAAUGAAUAUUUGUGAAACACUUCCAACAGUGCGUGGCACGUGACAAAUGUUAUGUAAGUCUUAGCUAUAAUCAUAAUUUUGUGAAAAGUGUUUCAGUCACACAUAUAUAUCAUCAGAAUAUUAGGCCACAGGGUAAAAUAUAUGUCUUCCUAUUCUAUGUUCAAAAGAUGCACUGCUUUGGUUUUUCUUUCCAGUAUAUAAGAAUGAGAUAUAUAAUAGAUAUUUGCACAACUACAAUCCAACACUAUAAAAAGGUUAUUUAUCAAAACAUAGGGAUGCCUGAGUGGCUCAGUCGUUAUGCAUCUGCCUUCGGCUCAG